GGUGAUGGGUGGGCAGUCGGUUGUAAACGUGUAACUGAAGAUUCCACGUCGAGGUGCCGGCUGUCCACUAAACCACAGUCUCCGUCCAAAGUCGGA
rnacentral:ribozyme from 1 species